UACGAAGGGGGCUAGCGUUGUUCGGAAUUACUGGGCGUAAAGCGCACGUAGGCGGAUCCUUAAGUCAGGGGUGAAAUCCCGAGGCUCAACCUCGGAACUGCCUUUGAUACUGGACGUCUUGAGUUCGGGAGAGGUGAGUGGAACUGCGAGUGUAGAGGUGAAAUUCGUAGAUAUUCGCAAGAACACCAGUGGCGAAGGCGGCUCACUGGCCCGAUACUGACGCUGAGGCACGAAAGCGUGGGGAGCAAACAGG
rnacentral:rRNA from 1 species